rnacentral:rRNA from 1 species
GCCCUAGUAACGGCGAGUGAAGCGGCAACAGCUCAAAUUUGAAAUCUGGCUCUCGGGCCCGAGUUGUAAUUUGUAGAGGAUACUUUUGAUGCGGUGCCUUCCGAGUUCCCUGGAACGGGACGCCAUAGAGGGUGAGAGCCCCGUCUGGUUGGAUGCCAAAUCUCUGUAAAGUUCCUUCAACGAGUCGAGUAGUUUGGGAAUGCUGCUCUAAAUGGGAGGUAUAUGUCUUCUAAAGCUAAAUACCGGCCAGAGACCGAUAGCGCACAAGUAGAGUGAUCGAAAGAUGAAAAGCACUUUGAAAAGAGAGUUAAAAAGUACGUGAAAUUGUUGAAAGGGAAGCGUUUAUGACCAGACUUGGGCUUGGUUAAUCAUCUGGGGUUCUCCCCAGUGCACUUUUCCAGUCCAGGCCAGCAUCAGUUUUCCCCGGGGGAUAAAGGCGGCGGGAAUGUGGCUCUCUUCGGGGAGUGUUAUAGCCCACCGUGUAAUACCCUGGGGGGGACUGAGGUUCGCGCAUCUGCAAGGAUGCUGGCGUAAUGAUCAUCAACGACCCGUCUUGAAACACGGACCAAGGAGUCGUCUUCGUAUGCGAGUGUUCGGGUGUCAAACCCCUACGCGUAAUGAAAGUGAA